rnacentral:rRNA from 1 species
UACGGAGGGUGCAAGCGUUAUCCGGAUUCACUGGGUUUAAAGGGAGCGUAGGCGGGCAGGUAAGUCAGUGGUGAAAUCCCCGUGCUUAACAUGGGAACUGCCGUUGAUACUAUCUGUCUUGAAUGCCGUGGAGAUGAGCGGAAUAUGUCAUGUAGCGGUGAAAUGCUUAGAUAUGACAUAGAACACCAAUUGCGAAGGCAGCUCGUUACACGAACAUUGACUCUGAGGCUCGAAAGCGUGGGGAGCAAACAGG